rnacentral:rRNA from 1 species
GCAUAUCAAUAAGCGGAGGAAAAGAAACCAACAGGGAUUGCCCCAGUUAACGGCGAGUGAAGCGGCAAGAGCUCAAAUUUGAAAGCUGGCUCCUUCGGGGUCCGCAUUGUAAUUUGUAGAGGAUGCUUCGGGAGCGGUCCCCAUCUAAGUGCCCUGGAACGGGACGUCAUAGAGGGUGAGAAUCCCGUAUGGGAUGGGGUGUCCGCGCCCGUGUGAAGCUCCUUCGACGAGUCGAGUUGUUUGGGAAUGCAGCUCUAAAUGGGUGGUAAAUUUCAUCUAAAGCUAAAUAUUGGCCGGAGACCGAUAGCGCACAAGUAGAGUGAUCGAAAGAUGAAAAGCACUUUGAAAAGAGAGUUAAAAAGCACGUGAAAUUGUUGAAAGGGAAGCGCUUGCGACCAGACUCGCUCGCGGGGUUCAGCCGGCAUUCGUGCCGGUGUACUUCCCCGCGGGCGGGCCAGCGUCGGUUUGGGCGGUCGGUCAAAGGCCCUCGGAAGGUAACGCCCCUAGGGGCGUCUUAUAGCCGAGGGUGCAAUGCGACCUGCCUAGACCGAGGAACGCGCUUCGGCUCGGACGCUGGCAUAAUGGUCGUAAACGACCCGUCUUGAAACACGGACCAAGGAGUCUAACAUCUACGCGAGUGUUCGGGUGUCAAACCCGUGCGCGAAGUGAAAGCGAACGGAGGUGGGAACCCUCACGGGUGCACCAUCGACCGAUCCUGAAGUCUUCGGAUGGAUUUGAGUAAGAGCGUAGCUGUUGGGACCCGAAAGAUGGUGAACUAUGCCUGAAUAGGGCGAAGCCAGAGGAAACUCUGGUGGAGGCUCGUAGCGGUUUCUGACGUGCAAAUCGAUACGUCGAAAUUUGGGGUAUAGGGGGCGAAAGACUAAUCGAACCAUCUGGUAGCUGGUUCCUGCCGA